UUUUAGCCCUGAUGGAAGUGAAAACCCUCCCGAUUUUUUUCGGGAGAUUACUUCACUUAGUAGUCAUUUAUAUAGGAGUUUAGUGAACUUUGUUUGUAGCGUACAGCGGGAAUAGCU
rnacentral:misc_RNA from 1 species